UUACCCUAAUUCCACCACAAAGCCUAGUUAACACUGUAGCAUGAUAUUUAGAUAUAUUUGUUAAAUUGUCACUAAGAAUAGCUUUGCACAUAACGCCUUUAUUUCUUUGUUAUCUAAAAACCUCGUUCAUUUUCUUGCUUUUAAGAUAUACUAAUAUGCUUAUUAUUGCUGCUGGAGUAAUGCCCUGUAUUUGUUUUGCAACUCCAACAGUAGUUGGCUUGAUUGUUUGCAGCUUUUCUACUACUUCACUUGAUAAACCUUUAAUUUGUGAAUAAUCAAAAUCUAGAGGAAUACGAGUAUUGAUUUCAUCUUGUAAAAACUUCAUAUCCGCCUCUUGCCUUA